rnacentral:misc_RNA from 1 species
UUUGUCUAGCCCCAGCCACAGCAGUACCAUGCUGCUCAAGAAUUUAAACUGAUUCUCCAAGUGCUCGAGGCCCAUGGGUCUGCGACUCUGUGCCCAGAAACACUCCAGGCGGGUGAUGUUCCAAAGGCGCACCAAGGUGCUGGUUGUGCGCAAGUGAGGUCCACCCAAGCAAUUGAAAAAAGGAGGCGCACCAAGGUGCUGGUUGCGCCCAAGUGAGGUCCACCCAAGCAAACUGCCUCAUGCUACUCAAUGAAGUAUAGGCUGCUAAGUGGUGGAUGUCUUUUAUUGGUAUUUAAAUGGGGCGUCCUGGCUGCCAACUGCCUCAUGCUCGGUGCUCCUCAAUGAAGUGUAGGCUGCUAAGUGGUUGAUGUCUUUUAUUGGCAUUUAAAUGGGGCUUUUUAGUAUUUAUUAUUUUGGGUUUUAUUGGUAUUUAAAGAAGAAGAAGAAGUAGAAGAACUGCCUUGUGCUCCUCAAUGAAAUGUAGCUGUGUAAGCUACUAAGUGGUGGAUGUCUUUCACUUGUAUUUAAAUGGGGCUUUUUAGUAUUUAUUAUUUUGGGUUUUAUUGGUAUUUAAAGAAGAAGAAGAAGUAGAAGAACUGCCUUGUGCUCCUCAAUGAAAUGUAGCUGUGUAAGCUACUAAGUGGUGGAUGUCUUUCACUUGU